rnacentral:piRNA from 1 species
UGAAAAUAUGAAAGGGGACUGUGAAU